rnacentral:tRNA from 1 species
GGGGAUGUGGCUCAGUGGUAGAGUGUUUGCCUAGCAUGCACAAAGUCCUGGUUCAAACCCUGCACCA